rnacentral:rRNA from 1 species
AUUGAACGCUGGCGGCAGGCCUAACACAUGCAAGUCGAACGAGUGGCGGACGGGUGAGUAAUGUAUGGGAAUCUGCCCGAUGGAGGGGGAUAACUACUGGAAACGGUAGCUAAUACCGCAUACUAUCGGAUGUGCCCAGAUGGGAUUAGCUAGUAGGUGGGGUAAAGGCUCACCUAGGCGACGAUCCCUAGCUGGUCUGAGAGGAUGACCAGCCAAACUGGAACUGAGACACGGUCCAGACUCCUACGGGAGGCAGCAGUGGGGAAUAUUGCACAAUGGGCGCAAGCCUGAUACAGCCAUGCCGCGUGUAUGAAGAAGGCCUUCGGGUUGUAAAGUACUUUCAGCGGGGAGGCGUUACCCGCAGAAGAAGCACCGGCUAACUCCGUGCAAGCAGCCGCGGUAAUUC